rnacentral:rRNA from 1 species
UACAGAGGGGGCAAGGGGUGUUCGGAAUUACGGGGCGUAAAGGGCGCGUAGGCGGCCUUCUAAGUCGAACGUGAAAUCCCCGGGCUCAACCCGGGAACUGCGUCCGAUACUGGAAGGCUUGAAUCCGGGAGAGGGAUGCGGAAUUCCAGGUGUAGCGGUGAAAUGCGUAGAUAUCUGGAGGAACACCGGUGGCGAAGGCGGCAUCCUGGACCGGCAUUGACGCUGAGGCGCGAAAGCCAGGGGAGCAAACGGG